CAGCCGCCACGGUAAAACGGAGGGGGCUAGCGUUGUUCGGAAUUACUGGGCGUAAAGCGCACGUAGGCGGCUUGGUAAGUUAGAGGUGAAAGCCUGGAGCUCAACUCCAGAAUUGCCUUUAAGACUGCCGAGCUAGCAGGUGAGAGAGGUAAGUGGAAUUCCGAGUGUAGAGGUGAAAUUCGUAGAUAUUCGGAAGAACACCAGUGGCGAAGGCGGCUCACUGGCUCAUACUGGACGCUGAGGUGCGAAAGCGUGGGGAGCAAACAGGAUUAGAUACCCCCGUAGUCCCUGUCUCUUAUAC
rnacentral:rRNA from 1 species